rnacentral:rRNA from 1 species
CGCGAAUAGCUCAUUACAACAGCUAUAAUUUACUUGAAUUUGACAACCCUACUUGGAUACCGGUGGUAAUUCUAGCGCUAAUACAUGCACCAAAGCUCCGACCGCGAGGGAAGAGCGCAUUUAUUAGAACAAAACCACACGGCUUCGGCCGUCCAAUGUUGACUCAGAAUAACUAAGCUGAUCGCAUGGUCUUGCACCGGCGACGUUUCUUUCAAGUAUCUGCCUUAUCAACUUUCGAUGGUAGUGUAUCUGACUACCAUGGUGAUGACGGGUAACGGAGGAUAAGGGUUCGACUCCGGAGAAGGGGCCUGAGAAAUGGCCACUACGUCUAAGGAUGGCAGCAGGCGCGCAAAUUGCCCACUCUCAGUACGAGGAGGUAGUGACGAGAAAUAACAAGACCGUUCUCACAAGAGGCCGGUCAUUGGAAUGGGUACAAUUUAAACCCUUUAACGAGUAUCUAUGAGAGAGCAAGUCUGGUGCCAGCAGCCGCGGUAAUUCCAGCU